rnacentral:rRNA from 1 species
AGCGAACGCUGGCGGCAGGCUUAACACAUGCAAGUCGAGCGGGCACUUUCGGGUGUCCGCGGUGGACGGGUGAGUAACGCGUGGGAACGUGCCCUCUGGUUCGGAAUAACUCAGGGAAACUUGAGCUAAUACCGGAUACGCCCUUUUGGGGAAAGGCUUGCUGCCGGAGGAUCGGCCCGCGUCUGAUUAGCUAGUUGGUGAGGUAACGGCUCACCAAGGCGACGAUCAGUAGCUGGUCUGAGAGGAUGAUCAGCCACACUGGGACUGAGACACGGCCCAGACUCCUACGGGAGGCAGCAGUGGGGAAUAUUGGACAAUGGGCGCAAGCCUGAUCCAGCCAUGCCGGGUGAGUGAUGAAGGCCUUAGGGUUGUAAAGCUCUUUUAUCCGGGACGAUAAUGACGGUACCGGAGGAAUAAGCCCCGGCUAACUUCGUG